GAGCAUUGAAGUUCGAACUCGAGCUUACCAGUUACCUCGAGUAGAUUUCGGACUAAAUCAACCUCAUUUUAAAGAGCCCAAAUGAAUUUGUAAUAAAUCAAUUUCAGAAACGUAAAAAAUGGGCCACUUAGCCCGACCAAUUCAGGUGACACUGACAGCCAACGACGAAAUGUUGUAAUAAAAAAAAACCGAACAAUAACGGCUGCGCGCAAUGCGAUCGGCUGUCGACGAUUUCAUCUUCAUUUUGGUGCUGCCGCUUCUCUAGCUCCAAUUGAUCCCUAAAUCACCGAUGCAUUGCUUCUUUUAACAAAAUAAUAAAUCACAAUCAUCAAAGUGGCAAUGGGAAGAAGCUACCGCCGGUGUUGUGGCGGGCUUCGCCACCUUCACCGCCAUGUACCCAUUUGACGUCGUACGUACGAGAUUCCAAGUUUACGAUGGCCCAGUUAAUAAUUGCCCGACGUACAAGAACACUGCCCACGCCAUUUUCACCAUUACUCGCUUAGAGGAUUGCACCCUUUCUCUCUCUCUCUCUCUCUUUUUUCUUUGCAUGUAAAGCUGAGGUAUUUUUUCACUUUUUUUUUUUUUGGAUCAUGCUAACAGUUUAAUUGGUUUCUCAAACAGGGUAUGAAAGGGCUUUUUGCAGGCUUCUUUCCUUCAGUUUUAGCUUCUUCAGUUUGGCGGGUUUAUAUUUCUUCUUAGCUAAACAAAGGUAUUUUAGAAACAGAGAGGAGAAGCUAAGUCCUAGUCUUCAUCUAGCCUCUGCUGCGGAAGCUGGAGCUUUGGUUUCUAUAUGCACGAAUCCUAUUUGGCUUAUUAGAACAAGAUUGGAGCUUCAAAGUCCUCUUCAUCAAAGUCAACCUUAUUCCGGUGUUUAUGAACCAUGCUAAGAGAGGAAGGAUGGACUGCACUAUAUACAAGACUCAGUCCUGGCCUAUUGAUGCAAGUCUCCCAUGGAGCCAUUCAGUUCACUGCAUAUGAAGAACUUCGUAGAAUAAUGGUUGAUUAUGAAGAAAGAAAGAAGAAACCCAAAGGUGCUAGUAAUUUGUUGGUAUGCAUCCUUAUAAUUGGUGUGAAGUCUUUGUAUAACCUCAUUUUCUCUCCAUUGGCUGGUCAUGGUGCCUUAUGAGGUGUGCGGAAUUUUUUUUUUCAAGUUAUUCGAACUCGAUCACAGCAACAACCUAGUAAUGAAGGAAUUCCAAGAUACACGAAUAGUUGGCAUGUUGUGAAGGAAACUGCAUGUUCGAGGGUUUUCACAGAUUUUACAAAGGCAUCAACCCGAACCUUCUGAGACAUGUGCCUGCUUCUUCAAUAACAUUUAUUGUUUGCGAGAAUGUACUAAAAUUCUUAAAAUCAACGAAAAGUAAUUAUUGGUAAAAGAAAUUAGAUGCUGUCCUAAGUUUUCUUUACGUUCUUCCAUUGUUCACCAUAUAAAAGAUAUCGAGAACUAGAAAUUUUACAUUGAAUGGUGAAAUAGCUACACUCAUCUGAUAAUCUUUGAGCUAA